rnacentral:rRNA from 1 species
AUUGAACGCUGGCGGCAGGCCUAACACAUGCAAGUCGAGCGAGCGGCGGACGGGUGCGUAAUGUAUGGGGAUCUGCCCGAUAGAGGGGGAUAACUACUGGACACGGUUGCUAAUAACGCAUACUAUCGGCUGGACCCAUAUGGGAUUAGCUAGUUGGUGGGGUAAAGGCUGACCUAGGCGACGAUCUCCAGCUGGUCUGAGAGGAUGAUCAGCAACACUGGAACUGAGACACGGCCCAGACUCCUACGGGAGGCAGCAGUGGGGAAUAUUGGACAAUGGGCGCAAGCCUGAUGCAGCCAUGCCGCGUGUAUGAAGAAGGCCUUCGGGUUGUAAAGUACUUUCAGCUGGGAGGCGUUACCCGCAGAAGAAGCACCGGCUAACUCCGUGCCAGCCGCCGCGGUAAUAC